UGGGGAAUUUUGGACAAUGGGCGAAAGCCUGAUCCAGCAAUGCCGCGUGUGUGAAGAAGGCCUUCGGGUUGUAAAGCACUUUUGUCCGGAAAGAAAUCCUUGGCUCUAAUACAGUCGGGGGAUGACGGUACCGGAAGAAUAAGCACCGGCUAACUACGUGCCAGCAGCCGCGGUAAUACGUAGGGUGCAAGCGUUAAUCGGAAUCACUGGGCGUAAAGCGUGCGCAGGCGGUUUGCUAAGACCGAUGUGAAAUCCCCGGGCUAACCUGGGAACUGCAUUGGUGACUGGCAGGCUAGAGUAUGGCAGAGGGGGGUAGAAUUCCACGUGUAGCAGUGAAAAUGCGUAGAGAUGUGGAGGAAUACCGAUGGCGAAGGCAGCCCCCCUGGGGCCAAAUACUGACGCUCAUGCACGAAAGCGUGGGGGAGCAAACAGGAUUAGAUACCCUGGUAGUCCACGCCCUAAACGAUGUCAACUAGUUGUUGGGGAUUCAUUUCCUUAGUAACGUAGCUAACGCGUGAAGUUGACCGCCUGGGGAGUACGGUCGCAAGAUUAAAACUCAAAUGAAUUGACGGGGUCAUAGCUGUUUCCU
rnacentral:rRNA from 1 species